GACGAACGCUGGCGGCGUGCCUAAUACAUGCAAGUCGAGCGGACAGAAGGGAGCUUGCUCCCGGAUGUUAGCGGCGGACGGGUGAGUAACACGUGGGUAACCUGCCUGUAAGACUGGGAUAACUCCGGGAAACCGGAGCUAAUACCGGAUAGUUCCUUGAACCGCAUGGUUCAAGGAUGAAAGACGGUUUCGGCUGUCACUUACAGAUGGACCCGCGGCGCAUUAGCUAGUUGGGGGGGUAAUGGCUCACCAAGGCGACGAUGCGUAGCCGACCUGGGAGGGUAAUCGGCCACACUGGGACUGAGACACGGCCCAGACUCCUACGGGAGGCAGCAGUAGGGAAUCUUCCGCAAUGGACGAAAGUCUGACGGAGCAACGCCGCGUGAGUGAUGAAGGUUUUCGGAUCGUAAAGCUCUGCUGUUAGGGAAGAACAAGUGCGAGAGUAACUGCUCGCACCUUGACGGUACCUAACCAGAAAGCCACGGCUAACUACGUGCCAGCAGCCGCCGUAA
rnacentral:rRNA from 1 species